rnacentral:rRNA from 1 species
UACGGGGGGAGCAAGCGUUGUUCGGAUUUACUGGGCGUAAAGGGCGCGUAGGCGGCCACCGCAAGUCAAUUGUGAAAUCUCCGGGCUUAACUCGGAAAGGUCAACUGAUACUGCGGGGCUAGAGUGCGGAAGGGGCAACUGGAAUUCUCGGUGUAGCGGUGAAAUGCGUAGAUAUCGAGAGGAACACCUGCGGCGAAGGCGGGUUGCUGGGCCGACACUGACGAUGAGGAGCGAAAGCGUGGGGAACGAACAGG